AGCUCCAAUAGCGUAUAUUAAAGUUGUUGCAGUUAAAAAGCUCGUAGUUGGAUUUCUGGUAUGAUGUACCUGGCCCGCCUCUUUUGAGUGUGUGUGUCGGGUUGCGUCUGCCAUCCUCCCAGGGAAUGUUUCUGCCUUUCAUUAGGUUGGAUUCGCUAACUGGGUCAUUUACUUUGAAAAAAUUAGAGUGUUUAAAGCAGGCUAUCGCUAUGAAUACAUUAGCAUGGAAUAAUAACUUAGGACUUCGGUUCUAUUUUGUUGGUUUCUAGAAUUGAAGUAAUGAUUGAUAGGGACAGUUGGGGGUGCUAGUAUUGUGCGGCCAGAGGUGAAAUUCUUGGAUUCGCGCAAGACUAACUUAUGCGAAAGCAUUCACCAAGGAUGUCUUCUUUAAUCAAGAACG
rnacentral:rRNA from 1 species